rnacentral:lncRNA from 1 species
AUGGCACACGAUGUCCUGAGUGUGACCUGGGAGCAGCUGGGCUGUGUGAACCUGCUCCUCCUGCCAUUCUGCAGCUGGGAGGAGCAGCGAUCUCCUUCGUGCUCGGGGAGAGGUGUACUGUCAGAUCCUUGGCACUUAUAUGUGGGCUGUGAUCUGCUUCCUCUGCCCAUAAUGCCUCCUGGGGGCACCUUCUCUGCAGGUGAGAGCAGCCCUGGAGUUGCAGAGGGUCGGGGCUUCUUGGGCAGAGCCAUCCCUGCCUCCUCGUGCAGGCUGAGCUGCUCCCAGCCAGAGUUCGCUGCUGUGGCCGCUCCCAGGAGGAGCUGGCUGUUGUCCUGUGGGUCAGAUCACUUCCACGUGGACCAACCACUCCAGUGUCAGUGUCCGUCUGCACUGAACGCAGCCCCUGGGUCACAGGGGGAGGAUGUUCAAGUGUCCCGGCUCAUCCAGCCCAGGGCCCGGCAGGAGCAGCGUGCGGGCAGCCGGACGCGCAGGGGAACCUGUGCGAGCUGUGCACGCUGCGCUGGCGCCGUCCGUCUUUCCCUCCCCAUCCCUCCCCCAGCUGGUCCGUCAGCCCGGAGCGCCGCGCUCCCACGCACAGCGCGUCCCUGGGGACCCGACAGGCCCUUCCCCGCUGCCCGGCUCCCUCCCCGUCCUCGGCAGCUGGCGGCCAAGAGCUGCGCUCAGAACGAGCCGGGGGAGCAGCUCGGGCUGUCCUCGCUUUCCUGGAAGAGCCGCGCUCCGCUCCAGCUCAGCGCGCUGCCAGCGGCCGCGGGAGGCGGGGAGCGGCGCUGUGCGGGGCUGUGCGGGGCUGUGCGGGGCUGUGCGGGGCUGUGCGCUGCUCGGAGCUGUGCGGGGCUGUGCGGGGCUGUGCGGAGCUGUACGGGGCUGUGCGGGGCUGUGCGGGGCUGUGCGGUGCCCUGGGGCUGUGCGGGGCUGUGCGGUGCCCGCUCCGGCGGCAGGAAUGCGAGCAGCGGCCGCGCUGUGCCCUGCCCUGGUGCUUUAGGAGAUGAAAGGAGCACAGUUCCUGGGGGGGCUGUGGCGGAGGGCGGCUCUGAGCCCUGCGGCCCGAGACAGAACAGGGCUCCUUUCACGCUCCCUCUGGCCUCGCCGCUGGAAUUUGUUCGCCGGCACAACCCGCCGCGGGAGGGGCUGCGGCGCAGGGGAAAUAGCUGGGACGUUUCUCGCAUAGCUGCUCCAGCAGCGCUGACCGCAGCGCUUUCCAGGGCCGCAGCCAGGACCUGCCCUGCUGCGCUCUGCAGACAGAGCUUCUGUCCGAGUGAUGAGCGCUGCGGGAUCUGA